rnacentral:rRNA from 1 species
GAUUUCUGGCACGGUGCGCUUGGUCCGCCCCUUUAUGGUGUGUGAGUACCGACGCGCGCCUGCCAUCCUUCUGGGGAGGGCGUCUACCCUUUACUGGGCCGGGCGUUCGACCUAGAUCGUUUACUUUGAAAAAAUUAGAGUGUUUAAAGCAGGCAUAUUGCUCUGAAUACAUUAGCAUGGAAUAAUAAGAUAGGACUUUGGUUCUAUUUUGUUGGUUUCUAGGACUGAAGUAAUGAUUGAUAGGGAUAGUUGGGGGUGCUAGUAUUGAUUGGCCAGAGGUGAAAUUCUUGGAUUCAAUCAAGACUAACUUAUGCGAAAGCAUU